rnacentral:miRNA from 10 species
CAGUUACUGCUGUAUUAGAUUGGUGCAAAAGUAAUCGCGGUUUUUGCUAUUGAAAAUAAUGGAAAAAAUGACAAUUACUUUUACACCAACCUAAUAGAAAUUACAGCUAUU